rnacentral:rRNA from 1 species
GCCGCGUGUGUGAAGAAGGCCUUAUGGUUGUAAAGCACUUUAAGCGAGGAGGAGGCUCUUUUGGUUAAUACCCGGGAUGAGUGGACGUUACUCGCAGAAUAAGCACCGGCUAACUCUGUGCCAGCAGCCGCGGUAAUACAGAGGGUGCAAGCGUUAAUCGGAUUUACUGGGCGUAAAGCGCGCGUAGGCGGCCAAUUAAGUCAAAUGUGAAAUCCCCGAGCUUAACUUGGGAAUUGCAUUCGAUACUGGUUGGCUAGAGUGUGGGAGAGGAUGGUAGAAUUCCAGGUGUAGCGGUGAAAUGCGUAGAGAUCUGGAGGAAUACCGAUGGCGAAGGCAGCCAUCUGGCCUAACACUGACGCUGAGGUGCGAAAGCAUGGGGAGCAAACAGGAUUAGAUACCCUGGUAGUCCAUGCCGUAAACGAUGUCUACUAGCCGUUGGGGCCUUUGAGGCUUUAGUGGCGCAGCUAACGCGAUAAGUAGACCGCCUGGGGAGUACGGUCGCAAGACUAAAACUCAAAUGAAUUGACGGGGGCCCGCACAAGCGGUGGAGCAUGUGGUUUAAUUCGAUGCAACGCGAAGAACCUUACCUGGCCUUGACAUAGUAGAAACUUUCCAGAGAUGGAUUGGUGCCUUCGGGAAUCUACAUACAGGUGCUGCAUGGCUGUCGUCAGCUCGUGUCGUGAGAUGUUGGGUUAAGUCCCGCAACGAGCGCAACCCUUUUCCUUACUUGCCAGCAUUUCGGAU